rnacentral:rRNA from 1 species
AUUGAACGCUGGCGGCAUGCUUUACACAUGCAAGUCGAACGGUAACAGGUUAAGCUGACGAGUGGCGAACGGGUGAGUAAUGCAUCGGAACGUGCCCGAUCGUGGGGGAUAACGCGGCGAAAGCUGCGCUAAUACCGCAUACGAUCUGAGGAUGAAAGCGGGGGACCGUAAGGCCUCGCGCGAUCGGAGCGGCCGAUGUCAGAUUAGGUAGUUGGUGGGGUAAAGGCCCACCAAGCCGACGAUCUAUAGCUGGUCUGAGAGGACGACCAGCCACACUGGGACUGAGAAACGGCCCAGACUCCUACGGGAGGCAGCAGUGGGGAAUUUUGGACAAUGGGCGAAAGCCUGAUCCAGCAAUGCCGCGUGCAGGAAGAAGGCCUUCGGGUUGUAAACUGCUUUUGUACGGAGCGAAAAGGUCCUUUCUAAUACAAGGGGCUCAUGACGGUACCGUAAGAAUAAGCACCGGCUAACUACGUGCCAGCAGCCGCCGUAAAAC